rnacentral:lncRNA from 1 species
CGGGCACUUGCUGAUACUGCAGGGCCUGGAUGCCUUCCUCUGCUGACCAGAUACCAACCGCCUCACUGCAAGGCCUCACCUCCCACGGACGGCAGAAGCGGAAGUGUGUGUGACAUCCGGGCAUCCUGCCCACGGACCGAAGGGCUGCCAGCAAGGGCGGUGUGGCGUGACUUUCUGUGGCGCCCCCUUUGUUAUGGAGUAGUAGUAAUAUUAAGUCCUCCUCUAGGAAGUAUAUCCAUGUUUUCGCUCCUAAUUCAUUGAUUAAAGGCCCCUUAGGGAAAUAAUAACCCUUUAUUGACUACUGGAGGGUUCUAAGACCCCAAUCUCUGGUGGCUUGAUGCCAGCACCUUAGCCCAAUGCUAUCACUUCCCUGACUCUCCAGAAGAAUAAUGCAGAGUGCGAUACCUAAGAGGAUCCCUGCCCGGGGCUUUUGCGGCUUAAGGCCGAGGCCGGACGGCAUGGCGUUCUUUCUUUUGUGGUAGUGGGUCCCCUCAAAUGCUAUUCAGUGUCUUUGCCUUACCUCCUGGCGGGGCCUGGAUGCCUUUCUCUGCUGACCAGAUACCAAUCGCCUCACUGCAAGGCCUCACCUCCCACGGACGGCAGAAGCGGAAGUGUACGUGACAUCCGGGCAUCCUGCCCACGGCCCGAAGGGCUGCCAGCAAGGGCGGCGUGGCGUGACUUUCUGUGGCGCCCUCUUUGUUAUGGAGUAAUAGUAAUAUUAAGUCCUCUCGGAAGUAGAUCCAUAUUUUGGCUCCUAAUUCAUUGAUUACAGGCUCCUUAGAGAAAUAAUCACCAAACAAUAAGCUCUGGACAGUUUUGCAACAUAAACCGUUACGGAUAAUGGGUUUGCGUUCCAGGCUUGAUGGGAGAAGAGAGGCCGCAGCACAAAGGUAGGGUGCCCAAGACAGAUUCUGAGAUGUUGGAGUAAGUGCAUUAUAACUAUGGGGUCUCUUCACUGGCGAAAUGUAGACAUUGCGAACUUUCUGUUCUAAAAGAUCUACUUUCUAUAGAGAAGCCAUAGAUGUACACAAUUUUGUGAGACCCAGAUCUCUUGACUUUAUCUAACAUUGCAUUGUAUUGUGCAGUGAAAUUCAUUUUAAUUAUGGUCUUAUUUGUUCCACCAAAUAUAUUAUAUGCAUGUUCUAUUACUACUGCUUUGUGUGGCAAGGCUUUUGAUUUUGCUACAGUGAUUUAUACACCGCUUUUCAGAAGUCAUUUAUUGAUUUGGAUUGGGUGUGGUCUUUUCCUUUGGAUUUUCUAAAAUGAUGAUCACAUUUUCACCAAAUAAUUUCUAUUUCU